GGCCGCGAAUUCGCCCUUAGGGUUUGAUUAUGGCUCAGGACGAACGCUAGCGGCGUGCCUAAUACAUGCAAGUCGAGCGAUGAUUAAAGAUAGCUUGCUAUUUUUAUGAAGAGCGGCGAACGGGUGAGUAACGCGUGGGAAAUCUGCCGAGUAGCGGGGGACAACGUUUGGAAACGAACGCUAAUACCGCAUAACAAUGAGAAUCGCACGAUUCCUAUUUAAAAGAAGCAAUUGCUUCACUACUUGAUGAUCCCGCGUUGUAUUAGCUAGUUGGUAGUGUAAAGGACUACCAAGGCGAUGAUACAUAGCCGACCUGAGAGGGUGAUCGGCCACACUGGGACUGAGACACGGCCCAGACUCCUACGGGAGGCAGCAGUAGGGAAUCUUCGGCAAUGGGGGCAACCCUGACCGAGCAACGCCGCGUGAGUGAAGAAGGUUUUCGGAUCGUAAAACUCUGUUGUUAGAGAAGAACGUUAAGUAGAGUGGAAAAUUACUUAAGUGACGGUAUCUAACCAGAAAGGGACGGCUAACUACGUGCCA
rnacentral:rRNA from 1 species